CUAUUACUGUGUUGGUGGGUGUGUUAGUGUCCAUCUAUUACUGUGUGGGUGUGGGUGUUAGUGUCCUUCUAUUACUGUGUGGGUGUGGGUGUUAGUGUCCAUCUAUUACUGUGUGGGUGUGGGUGUUAGUGUCCAUCUAUUACUGUGUGGGUGUGGGUGUUAGUGUCCAUCUAUUACUGUGUGGGUGUGGGUGUUAGUGUCCAUCUAUUACUGUGUGGGUGUGUGUGUUAGUGUCCAUCUAUUACUGUGUGGGUGUGGGUGUUAGUGUCCAUCUAUUACUGUGUGGGUGUGGGUGUUAGUGUCCAUCUAUUACUGUGUGGGUGUGGGUGUUAGUGUCCAUCUAUUACUGUGUGGGUGUGGGUGUUAGUGUCCAUCUAUUACUGUGUGGGUGUGUGUGUUAGUGUCCAUCUAUUACUGUGUGGGUGUUUGUGUUAGUGUCCAUCUAUUACUGUGUGGGUGGGUGUGUUAGUGUCCAUCUAUUACUGUGUUGGUGGGUGUGUUAGUGGCCCAUCUAUUACUGUGUUGGUGUGGGUGUUAGUGUCCAUCUAUUACUGUGUGGGUGUGGGUGUUAGUGUCCAUCUAUUACUGUGUGGGUGGGUGUGUUAGUGUCCAUCUAUUACUGUGUGGGUGGGUGUGUUAGUGUCCAUCUAUUACUGUGUGGGUGUGGGUGUUAGUGUCCAUCUAUUACUGUGUGGGUGUGGGUGUUAGUGUCCAUCUAUUACUGUGUGGGUGUUAGUGUCCAUCUAUUACUGUGUGGGUGUGGGUGUUAGUGUCCAUCUAUUACUGUGUGGGUGUUAGUGUCCAUCUAUUACUGCUUGGGUGUUAGUGGCCCAUCUAUUACUGUUACUGAUAGGUGCUACACUGCCACUCGCGGUAGAUAGACAGGAGCUGCCAAAUAUAGGUCAGUGGG